UACAGAGGGUGCAAGCGUUAAUCGGAAUUACUGGGCGUAAAGCGUGCGUAGACGGUUAUUUAAGUCAGGUGUGAAAGCCCCGGGCUCAACCUGGGAACUGCAUUUGUGACUGCACAGCUGGAGUGCGGCAGAGGGGGAUGGAAUUCCGCGUGUAGCAGUGAAAUGCGUAGAUAUGCGGAGGAACACCGAUGGCGAAGGCAAUCCCCUGGGCCUGCACUGACGCUCAUGCACGAAAGCGUGGGGAGCAAACGGG
rnacentral:rRNA from 1 species